AUACGGAGGGUGCAAGCGUUAUUCGGAAUCACUGGGCGUAAAGGGUGCGUAGGCGGUUUGAUAAGUCUGAUGUGAAAUCCUAUGGCUCAACCAUAGAACUGCAUUGGAAACUGUCAGACUAGAAUACUGAAGGGGCAGAUGGAAUUAGUGGUGUAGGGGUAAAAUCCGUAGAUAUCACUAGGAAUACCGAAAGCGAAAGCGAUCUGCUGGGAAGUUAUUGACGCUGAGGCACGAAAGCGUGGGGAGCAAACAGGAUUAGAUACCCCAGUAGUCC
rnacentral:rRNA from 1 species